CCUGGCAUGGCCACCAGAGAAGGGCCCGGAAGGUCGGCAGCUGGCAAGAAUCCUGCAACCCAGCACGUGAGAAGGUUAACACACCUUGGAAAUGCCAAAGCAAUCUUCUUCUUCAGACCCUUCAGCGAUGUUGGAUGUUCUUACAUCGGCCCUCACGUGUUUAGUGCCUGGGCUGGGCUGGGCUCAGCUGGGACGGUGGACUAGAGUGCCUGCCUUAUAGCGAGAGCCCGCGAUAGCAGGUGCUCGGCCGAUCCUUACUGAAGGAAGCUCAAGUGGGUGUUGCAGACAUUUGCAAGUGUCACCCUUCUCCGGGGCGGAGCUCACCUGGCGCUGCUGGCUGGGAAGUCAGAAGUUUUAUAGGGAAGCAAGGGUAUGGGGUGCGGCGCCAGGAAGCGCAGACACAGCACACCGAGGCACCUCUCCAGACGAUGGCUUCAAUGUACAGGCGCUCAGAGGUGACCAGCCAUCCUCCCGCACUGCCCACGGAUGCCAGAGAUGCCGGGACCCAGAGGCGGCAGCCUGUUGUGACACCAUUGCCCUGGCUGGUUUGGCUCAGUGGAUGGAGCAUCGGCCUUCGGACUGGCGGGUCCCAGGUUCGAUUCCGGUCAAGGGCAUGUACCUUGGUUGCGGGCACAUACCCAGUAGGGAGUGUGUAGGAGGCAGCUGAUCGAUGUUUCUCUCUCAUCGAUGUUUCUAACUCU